CGUGUUCCCGAGCGCUGCGGGCCUGUCCCGCCACCCGCACCGGCACCAUGGUGAAACCGCGCUACAAGGGCCGCUGCUCCAUCAACCCCUCCCGCGCCAGCACCAACCCCGAUCGCAUCGGGGGCGAGGGAGGGAACAACAUGCGGGACCGAGCGACCAUCCGGCGCCUCAACAUGUACCGGCAAAAGGAGCGCAGG